rnacentral:rRNA from 1 species
AGCAGCCGCGGUAAUUCCAGCUCCAAUAGCGUAUAUUAAAGUUGCUGCAGUUAAAAAGCUCGUAGUUGAAUUUCGGGACCAAUAUGUCGGUCGUGCCUCGGUACGUACUGGCAUCGUUGGUUUCUCCCUUCUGACGGACCAUGACGUCAUUUAUUUGGUGUCGUGGGGAAUCAGGACUGUUACUUUGAAAAAUUAGAGUAGUUUAAAGCAGGCUCACGCUUGAAUACAUUAGCAUGGAAUAAUGAAAUAGGACGUUUGAUUCUAUUUUGUUGGUUUCUAGGAUCGACGUAAUGAUUAAUAGGGAUAGUUGGGGGCAUUAGUAUUCAAUUGUCAGAGGUGAAAUUCUUGGAUUUAUUGAAGACUAACUACUGCGAAAGCAUUUGCCAAGGAUGUUUUCAUUAAUCAAGAACGAAAGUUAGGGGAUCGAAGACGAUCAGAUACCGUCGUAGUCUUAACCAUAAACUAUGCCGACUAGGGAUCGGAUGAUGUUAAUUUUUAAUGUACUCUA